rnacentral:sRNA from 1 species
UUGACAGCCCUGGGAGUCUGAAAGCCCUCUGUUUAUCCCCAGUACAGAUACAGCACAACUAGCAAAAAUGCAACUUUCCAUAAGAUAUCCUAUCAAUGUGUUUCAGCAGCAGUCUACAUGGCCAGGGAAACAUUCAGAACUCUAGAAGUCACUGUAGUUAUUCA